GUGCUCAUUUUCGUAGCAUACAUAGUAAAAUUGGAAAAAUACAAAAAGAUGAGCAUGGUCCCUACACAAAGAUGACAUUCAAAUUAGGGGAAUAUGAUAUAUAUCA